AGGGGUGUCGUCUAACGGUAGGACACAUGGUUUUGAACCAUGCAAUGGAGGUUCGAUUCCUUCCACCCCUGCCA
rnacentral:tRNA from 1 species